AUUGAACGCUGGCGGCAGGCCUAACACAUGCAAGUCGAGCGGAUGAAGGGAGCUUGCUCCUGGAUUCAGCGGCGGACGGGUGAGUAAUGCCUAGGAAUCUGCCUGGUAGUGGGGGAUAACGUCCGGAAACGGGCGCUAAUACCGCAUACGUCCUGAGGGAGAAAGUGGGGGAUCUUCGGGCCUCACGCUAUCAGAUGAGCCUAGGUCGGAUUAGCUAGUUGGUGGGGUAAAGGCCUACCAAGGCGACGAUCCGUAACUGGUCUGAGAGGAUGAUCAGUCACACUGGAACUGAGACACGGUCCAGACUCCUACGGGAGGCAGCAGUGGGGAAUAUUGGACAAUGGGCGAAAGCCUGAUCCAGCCACGCCGCGUGUGUGAAGAAGGUCUGCGGAUUGUAAAGCACUUUAAGUUGGGAGGAAGGGCAGUAAGUUAAUACCUUGCUGUUUGGACGUUACCAACAGAAUAAGCACCGGCUAACUUCGU
rnacentral:rRNA from 1 species